GUAGGUGGCAAGCGUUGUCCGGAAUUAUUGGGCGUAAGGCGCGCGCAGGCGGUUCUUUAAGUCUGAUGUGAAAGCCCACGGGCUCAACCGUGGAGGGUCAUUGGAAACUGGAGAACUUGAGUACAGAAGAGGAAAGCGGAAUUCCACGUGUAGCGGUGAAAUGCGUAGAGGUGUGGAGGAACACCAGUGGCGAAGGCGGCUUUCUGGUCUGCAACUGACGCUGAGGCGCGAAAGCGUGGGGAGCAAACAGGAUUAGAUACCCUGGUAGUCCACGCCGUAAACGAUGAGUGCUAAGUGUUAGGGGGUUUCCGCCCCUUAGUGCUGCAGCUAACGCAUUAAGCACUCCGCCUGGGGAGUACGGCCGCAAGGCUG
rnacentral:rRNA from 1 species